rnacentral:misc_RNA from 1 species
GAUGAAGAACGUAGCGAAAUGCGAUAAGUAAUGUGAAUUGCAGAAUUCAGUGAAUCAUCGAAUCUUUGAACGCACCUUGCGCCCUUUGGCUAUUCCGAAGGGUAUGCCUGUUUGAGUAUCAUGAACACCUCAACUCUCAUGGUUUGCCAUGAUGAGCUUGGACUUUGGGGGUCUUGCCGGCCUAUGGGUCGGCUCCUCUCAAAUUAAUCAGCUUGCCAGUGUUUGGUGGCAUCACAGGUGUGAUAACUAUCUACGCUUGUGGUUUUCCAUCAGGUAACCUUCAGUGAUGGAGGUUCGCUGGGGCUCAUAAAUGUCUCUCCUCAGUGAGGACAGCUUUUUUGAACGUUUGAUCUCAAAUCAGGUAGGACUACCCGCUGAACUUAAGCAUAUCAAUAAGCGGAGGA